rnacentral:lncRNA from 1 species
UGCCUUCUUUCAGCUUUGCUGCUUUGCUGAAGGCUGUGCAUCAGAGGUGCUUCUACCUGGGAGGACCUCCACCCCAUAACCUCUGUCACUCCCCGGACACUCUUUCUGUCCAUAAUGACUGGUAGAAGAUGCCCUGGAUCUGCUAUACAGAAACAAAGAACAAGUAUCAAACUGGAUGUUAAACAGAAAUUGUAUGACCUUCAUGUUUCCUUCCAGGUAAUGAUCAUGAAAACAGAGGGUAAAGGUUGG